AAAGUCGUUCAAAAUCAAACUCCAGAGAAAGAAAACCAGCGAAAGAAAAUUCAUACGAGCAAAGUCGACUUUCGAGUGAAAAAUCUAGAAACAACAAAGCGGAAUUGCUUGCUUUAGCAAAACUUGCUAGAAAACAAAUCCACGAACCCAUGUAUAAAGACAAAGUAUCGAAGCGAGACAAGAAUAGAAUCAAGAUUAAGCAUGAAAAAGUUAUAAAUUGGUCAUGGACAAACCGAACCGCGGAAGAAGAACUACAAGGUUUAAAAGCUUUAUGUAAAGAGAUUUUUGAAUCCAUCGAUUACAAUGCUGACCCUAAAAGUAAAGACAGUGAAAGGAGAUGGUACUAUUGAACCUUUUUGAAUCUGAUAUGAACUUAAUUACUGCAGUAACAAUGAAUUCGUCUAGUAUUCAUGGCGUUGAAAUCAUACAAUAUAUAUUUUACCAGCGUAAAAGGUACCAAUACAAACGUUAGAAUAUCAGAGAAUGAGCAUAUAUUUGUUUAGCAUUUGGUUAAAAUCGUCUUAUGGUGUUUGUUCGAUGAUUUGGCUGCGGCUAGAUUAAUCAAAAAUCUUCGAUUGUGUAUAUUUGAAAUUUAGGCUUAAAAUUCUAAAAAAUUGUAAGUGAAUCUUUCUAAUUUUUACUGUAUUAUUCAUUCUACGUUGUUUCAUGUGUUUAUGUUUUAUAUUUUAAAAUAAUUGUUUUCAAGAUUUUAUCAA